rnacentral:rRNA from 2 species
UACGUAGGGUGCGAGCGUUAAUCGGAAUUACUGGGCGUAAAGCGUGCGCAGGCGGUUAUGUAAGACAGAUGUGAAAUCCCCGGGCUCAACCUGGGAACUGCAUUUGUGACUGCAUAGCUAGAGUACGGCAGGGGGGGAUGGAAUUCCACGUGUAGCAGUGAAAUGCGUAGAUAUGCGGAGGAACACCGAUGGCGAAGGCAAUCCCCUGGGCCUGUACUGACGCUCAUGCACGAAAGCGUGGGGAGCGAAC